rnacentral:sRNA from 1 species
ACAGAACUGUCUUGGAAAGCCCUGGUCCUCCCAGGCCUCCUAAGAGAAUAGCGAAGAACCCCUCCCAGAACCUUCCUAUAAGGUCUCCCCGCUGACUUCCUGUAGCGGAUGUGACUGUGUGCCAGGUGCCUGCCGAAGACCCCUGUCACUGACUGUGCCCUUUGGGAAAGAGUCAACAAUGGCCUCCUCCUAUGGCUGACUUCGUUCAUGUUCAGGCUCUCCAGCUUGCUAGUGAGAAUUGCCAAGGAGUGGUUCAUGGCAGGAUAGAACUAAACUGAUAGAUGAAAGUUCCACAGUGCUUCAAGACAGGCUCCCGUUCAUGUUUAGCAGUUUUCCUUCCUUCAAAAUAAAAAACUAGCCGUCCUUA